ensembl:lncRNA
AGGGGGGAAAAAUCGCAUACUUCCACAAAUUCUUUUGUUACCAUUCAAAAAUUGCCAGUUAGAAAUUGUAUUUUUUAACUCAUUUAAGUUUCUUUAGGUGCUUUAUUUAUUUUAAUUUUUCUAGCUCUAAAAGGGGUAACAUUCAGCACUUUUAUACUCUUGGUAUCCCUUUCCCUCUUUAACUCAAUUAACUCAAAAGUCUUUAGAUAUUAAGCCACUUUAGCGUAUACAUAACAACUAUUAAGAUUGUCCACAGUAUCUUUCAGCCAAAUGGCAGUUUCCUUGUUUGCAUUUACUCUUAUGAGAUUGUUACCUUGCUUUUUUGAGUUCAAAUUAUGAAAAUACAUUUGCUCCAGCCAUUCCUUUUAAGUCUAUAUAGCUUUGUUUCAAAUGUUUCUAAUAAACAUUUUGUUAGAUCCUGUUUUCUGAUCCAUUCUAUCAUCUUCUGUUUUAUGGGAAAGUUCAUCUCAUUCACUUUUAGUUAUGAUUUUUGGGCAUUUCCCUCAAAUUUAUUCUUUUCCUUCUUUGUUCCUUGCCCUCUCUUUACAUAGAAGAUGGGCUUGGAUGAGCAGUGUACUGACAAUGUUCUAAAAUUGAUACAGCUUUCAGUUUUCUUUCCUUUACCCAAAUCCUAAUCCAAUUCUCACCCUUUUUCUUUCUUUCCUUUUAAAUCUUAGUUCAUGAUUCCUGUUCAGAACUUAAAGUUUUAUUUUUCUUAUGAAUAAUUCCUCCUUAGAACUAUCUCUUCCUCAUCCUUUACUUUCUCCUCUCCCCUUUUCCUGGUGAGCUAUUUCUACAGCAAAAAUUGUUGCUCCUUGGACCAAAUUAAAUCAAAAUUUAAGAUCUAACUGAUGUCUGGUCCCCCAUUACAUCUUCCCUGGCCUCCUCCCCCAUUAGGUGAUUCUUUUCUUUACUUCUAGUGUAUCUCCUCCAUUCUCUUUCCUUUCAAAACUUAACACCUACUCCCAGGUCACCCAGCUUAGUUGACAAUCUCUUAAGAUCUCAGAUAACUUUACACUUCUUAAGGUCCUCACCUUCCCAUAAUAGAAUGCAAGACACUUCAACCUUUGAAAAACUUCUAAUUUGCUCACCUGUAUUUAUCUUUUUACUCCCAUGUUAGUAUUACAAAGUCUGAUCUUUUCAUCAAGUCUGUUUAGACAUACCCUAUUUCAUUAAAUAUUUUUUUUUCCUCCUAUAUUAUAUUUAACUUGUUGCAUUAGUUAUUCUUGAGUAUAGGCUUUAUCUUUUGCUUUUUAUAUUAUUGUAUCUCAUGCUCUUUGCAUCUUUUUUCCACAAAAGCAUGCUCUUCCCUUUCCCCACCUCAGAGAGUAACUUUUUUCCCCUUCUAGGAUCUUGUUCAUUAUGCAAUUCCCAAACUGUUAAAAAGGAAGGGGAUAGGCAGAAGGAGUUUAAGACUUGGAUGUGGUUCAAACCAAAUGCCCUCCUACAAAUUAGGAGUUAACUGAAAAGAUACACAUCAAGACAACCACUUAAAACUCAACUAAUCACUUUUAUUAAACAUUCAAAAGAAAAGUUCACACUAAAGAGUUUUAUUCCCAAUUAUACUAUGCUACAGACUACUGAAAAAGAGCAGCUUAUACUUACUGAUUAUCGGCUUUAGCCCUUCUUGACUUUUCCACACUGAUUGUUUUUAAAUUGACAAUCUGAAAAUCACCUAAGUUUUUAAGAAAUCAACUGUACUGAAUCAGCUUUUCAAUCCACUUUCUAAUUUUUCUGGAGUUAAGGCAAUUAGCUCAAACCUCUCUUGUCCUAUCUAUAUGCUUAAAUACAUUUUUUCAGGAAAAAUAUCUAAAACUGUCAGCAGUUAAAAAACAGUAUUUAAAUUGCCUUUUCAUCCCUUGAAAUUUUAAGUUGUAUAAAACAUCUUUCUAACUAGGGUAAUUCAGCAAAAAUUUCAGAUCACAACUCAACUUUUGUUACACAAGAGAAAUCCAGUGAUGAUACACAAGACUUUAUCAUUUGUAUCCUACUAGACCAGGAAACUGAUAUUUUCACAUCUAUUAGGAGACAUUUGCUAUUUCACAUGUUUUAUUUUCCUUGAUUUUUAGGCUUUAUUCUGAACCUGUCUCAUUUUCUUAUGAUACUGGUUAAAAAAAAAAUAAAUGUAACAGUUGUUGCAUCAACUUAUAAGAAUUACAAAGUUAAAAUGAAUGUCUCUUGAAUUCACCUCAUUCCACCCCAAUAAGUCAGUUAGGAAUUUUCCAAAAUAAAUCCUUUUCCUUUUUCUCUUAGGAAGAUAACAUGAUCACCAUCAACAUCCUUAUUUCACAUUUCUAUCCUGAUCUUCCAAUAAGAUACCAGAACUUGAGUUCUUGCCUAGGUAUAUAAUUUUUUAUAAGAUACCAAAACUUGAGUUCUUGCCUAGGUAUAUAAUUUUUUAUAAGAUACCAAAACUUGAGUUCUCGCCUAGGUAUAUAAUUUUUUAUAAGAUACCAGAACUUGAGUUCUCGCCUAGGUAUAUAAUUUUUUAUAAGAUACCAGAACUUGAGUUCUUACUCAGGUAUAUAAUUUUUUUAAUCAAAUAACUACAACUGAGGCAGAACUGUUUAAAAACUACUCAAUAAUCUUUCAAAACUUUGAGUUAGAAAUCACCUUGGAAAACAAGAAACAUCUUCAAAAAGCUUAGAAAUAAAAAAAAAAGGCCCUAAUUCACAGCAGCAUGAGAACUGCUCUUCUAAAUAUGAUCCCUACAAUCUUUGUGAAUAAUGAACAGUAACAUGAUCGUUCUCUAAUUCUCUUAGACCGGAUUAAUAAAUAGGGAUCUGCUCAGUCCCAACCAGCAAGACCUCAAGAAUCCAAAGCCACUUUUCUCCGCUUUUGUCACCUGAUCAUCUUUCAGCACGGGGAAUGUGGAGGUUUCCUGCUUAACCGCUGCGUAGUGCAGGGAAAUAAAUGAGAGUUUUGGGAUAAGUUCGGAUACUAUCUGGAUCUGUCAACAAUCCCGAGUUUUUGUUUGUUGCCGUUUUUUUGCUUUGUUUCGGUUGGUUGGGUUUUUUUUUUUUUUUUUUUUUUUGUAAAUGCGCGCUUCCCGGCCUCACUGGUUCUGCACGAUUUUCCCGUAGCCCCCCCGCCCGGCAUCAUAGUCCUGCCGGUACUCGUCGCGCACCUGGCCCCCGGACCGCCCGCGCCCGUACUGCCGGCCUUCCCGGAAGCCCGCGUCCCAGUCCGUGCGGAUGAUGCGGUCGUCCAGGCGGGUGCCGUUGAUGUAGCGCAUGGCGUUUUCGGCGUCGGCGCGGCAGUAGUACUCCACGAAGCAGAAGCCGCACGCCGUCUUCUUCACUUUGUCCAGGCCCAUGAUGAUCUUCUUGAUGUCGCCGCUUUUGCUGAAGAGUUCGUAGAUCUGCUCCUCCGUGGUGUAAAAGGACAGGUUGCCCACGUACAGAGUGCAGCUUUUCUUUAACAACUUUUCUUGGUCGUCCAUUUUCCCUCGGAAGUGCUGGUCGCGGUACCAGCCCAGCUCCACGUAGGAAUCGCUCUGCAGCGCGCUCAGGAGUCCCCCCGACAUGAUGGCGGCGAUACCGGGCGGGCGGAGGGAGAACCGGCGGGGAAGCCCAGAAACCGCAGCAAAGCGCAGCGGGCGCUCCGGAAAGCAACUUGGUCCUGACUGGCAGCGGCCUUCCGGAGGGCGCCGGAAGCCUCUCUAGCUGGGACCAAUCACGGGGAGCGCCGAACCGGAAGUGGUCGGCUGAUUAUCUCUCGCCCGUUCUAGCGAAAGAGUCGCGACUUUAAUGCCCCCUACUGUCGGAUGGUUUUCUUCAGCCGAGACCUUCUAGUGAAAAGUAAUAAAGGAAGUGGGGCUGGACUAGUUAGUUAUGUCAUGGAAAAAGCCGGGGGUCUUUUUCCUUUCCCGGCGCCCCUUUUCAGUUCGCCUUUGGGAAUUCCUCCUAAACCAUUUCCGUUUGGGCGGCACGAAUAAGAGAACCAGGCGGUCCCUGCCCUCAGGGAGCUGACGUUCUGAGAUUCCGUGAUUCAAUUACGCGGAACGCGGGCCGGGCCUGCGUAAUAAGGGAACAAGCGCAGGAGCUCUGGCUCUGGUUCUGACCCCAACGCUCAGUUUCUUCAUCUGUAAAAUAGGCAUGUAGCGCUUCUCUCCAAGCCCUUUGUGAAGAGGUAGAUUUGUAGUUAUCGUUAGGGUUUUUACCGAUGGGGGCGAUUGUGAAGGAAGCCCAGGAAAAAGAAAACAGCAUCAAAGGCUCCUUAGGAGGCCGUCCCUUAGUGAAUCUGGCUACAGUCAGGAGCGGAAGCGGAAGCGGAAGCGUCCAAUUUCUUCUCUUUCGUGAGGUGUUUCCUAU